rnacentral:rRNA from 1 species
UACGGGGGGAGCAAGCGUUGUUCGGAUUUACUGGGCGGAAAGGGCGCGUAGGCGGCCACCGCAAGUCGACUGUGAAAUCUCCGGGCUUAACCCGGAAAGGUCAGCCGAUACUGCGGGGCUAGAGUGCAGAAGGGGCAACUGGAAUUCUCGGUGUAGCGGUGAAAUGCGUAGAUAUCGAGAGGAACACCUGCGGCGAAGGCGGGUUGCUGGGCUGACACUGACGCUGAUGCGCGAAAGCUAGGGGAGCGAACGGG